AUUGAACGCUGGCGGCAGGCCUAACACAUGCAAGUCGAGCGGAGCGGCGGACGGGUGAGUAAUGCCUAGGAAUCUGACUGGUAGUGGGGGAUAACGUCAGGAAACGGGCGCUAAUACCGCAUACUAUCAGAUGAGCCUAGGUCUGAUUAGCUAGUUGGUGGGGUAAAGGCCUACCAAGGCGACGAUCCGUAACUGGUCGGAGAGGCGGAUCAGUAACACGGGAAUUGAGACACGGGCCACAUUCUUACGGGAGGCAGAAGUGGGGAAUAUUGGACAAGGGGGGAAAGCCUGAUCAAGCAAUGCGGCGUGUGUGAAGAAGGUCUUCGGAUGGUAAAGCACUUUAAGUUGGGAGGCGUUACCAACAGAAUAAGCACCGGCUAACUACGUGCCAGCCGCCGCGGUAAUUC
rnacentral:rRNA from 1 species